UACAGAGGUGGCAAGCGUUGUUCGGAAUUACUGGGCGUAAAGGGCGCGUAGGCGGUCCCGUCAGUCCCUUGUGAAAUCCCCCGGCUCAACUGGGGAACUGCAAGGGAUACAGCGGGGGCUUGAGUUCGGGAGAGGGAAGCGGAAUUCCGGGUGUAGCGGUGAAAUGCGUAGAUAUCCGGAGGAACACCGGUGGCGAAGGCGGCAUCCUGGACCGGUAUUGACGCGUGAGGCGCGAA
rnacentral:rRNA from 1 species